GGAGGAAUAUUGCACAACGGGGGGAACCCAGAUGCAGCAACGCCGCGUGAGUGAAGAAGGCCUUCGGGUUGUAAAACUCUUUUCUGAGGGAUGAGGAAGGACAGUACCUCAGGAAUAAGUCUCGGCUACCUACGUGCCAGCAGCCGCGGUAAGACGUAGGAGGCGAGCGAUAUCCGGAUUUACUGGGCGUAAAGGGCAAGUAGGCGGCAUAACAAGUCAGUUGUGACAGAUCCGGGCUCAACUGGGAGAGGACGAAUGAGACGGUUGAGCUAGAGGACAGGAGAGGGGAGCGGAAUUCCUUGUGUAGCGGUGGAAUGCUCGGAUACAAGGAAGAACACCAGUGGCGAAGGCGGCUCUCUGGCCUGAUCCUGACGCUGAAGAGCGAAAGCGAGGGGAGCGAACG
rnacentral:rRNA from 1 species